rnacentral:lncRNA from 1 species
GGCGGGCCCGCGGCUGAGGGCGGGGGCCGAGCUUAUAAAGGCCCGCGGGGCGGGCGGGCGGGCGGCGGAGGGAGGGAGGGAGUUGCUAAGCCGCCGACCGGCCCUGCUCGGCCGCCGAGAGCCGCGCGCUGCGCUCCGCCGCGGGGCAGGGCUGACGCCGCAGCGGACGCGGGCCCCGGCCGUCGGCACCGGAAGGAGGAGAAGGAGGAGGAGGGCGCGGAGGCGCUCGGGUCCCCGCCGACCAGCCGGGGGUACUGGCCGCGGCGCUCCGCACGUGCGGCGACCCGCCCUGUGCGCCAUGGCGCGUCGGCCCCGGUUGCCGGGUGCCGCCCCUUAGCGCCGAGGCGGCCCAGCGACCCCGGGACCCGGGACCCCCGGGCAUGGAGCCGCACGUGCUCGGCGCUCUCCUCUACUGGCUGCUGCUACCCUUCGCGCUCCUGGCCGCCUGCCUGUUCCGCUGCAACGCGCUCUCGCUGGUCUACCUGCUGUUCCUGCUGCUGCUGCCCUGGCUCCCGGGCCCCUCCUGGCACAGCCUCCGAGGCCCCAUGUGGAGGAGUGAGUGACCCUCGGUCCCAAGGAGAGAGGCAGGCAGCACCUUCCUGCAACUGUGGUGUGGGGUCCAGAGCCCGCGCCCACCCGGAGCCGCUCCUCCCCUGCCCGCAGAUGGCUCCGUCCCGCACUCAAGACCGGACCUCGGCGUCCACGGGGACCUGUUGCAGCACUCCCGUGAGCCCCACCACACCCUUUGUCCCUCCUGGGCACGUGCAGGGGCCCCUCACCUCCUGACCCCCUGCCCACCCAAAGCCAGAGCUCCUUUUGGGCUUGCCCAUC